GGCAAGGCAGCCUCUGGUAUACCGAUCCUCCGACAGGGGGACGCCGGGUAGCUAAGCUGUUGAGGAUAACCCCUGAAAGCAUCUAAGGGGGAAGCCUUUCUUAAAAAGAGCCAGCGUUCCUUUAUGUAUUUCAAUUCGCAAGGAUUGGAAUGCAUUAAGGAGUAGGGCUGCCAUAGAAGAUGGCGUUGAUAGGACGGAGGUGUACGCAGGAAGGCCCGCAAGGGCCGACUUGUUCAGCCUACCGUUACUAAUCGCCCAAAUGUUAGGUUCA
rnacentral:rRNA from 1 species